GUCCAGCAGUGCUAUCCUCACCCUGGCAGUGGCAUUCCUCCUCUCCGCCAUACCGCUCUGCAAAAGUGCCCCAGUUUUACAGAAGCAAGUCACGACAGACUAUGACCAGCUACUGAGCCAGGUAGAUGACGUCUGCACAUCCUUUCUCUCCGAAGACCUGCCCUUAAGAACGCGUGAGACGUUGGGAGUGGUGUGUGUCCAGAUGCU